rnacentral:rRNA from 1 species
UACGUAGGGACCGAGCGUUGUCCGGAUUCAUUGGGCGUAAAGAGCUCGUAGGCGGCUGUUCAAGUCGAACGUGAAAACUCGGAGCUCAACUCCGAGCCUGUGUUCGAUACUGGACGGCUAGAGUCUGGUAGGGGGAUCUGGAAUUCCUGGUGUAGCGGUGGAAUGCGCAGAUAUCGGGAGGAACAUCAGUGGCGAAAGCGGCACCCUGGCAUUAGCCUGACGCUCAGGUGCGAAAGCGUGGGGAGCGAACGGG